UGAGGUCUUAKCUUAAGUAAAGUGUCUGAGWUGCAUUMAGGUGUUGUGACUGGUUCACAGGCCUUC
rnacentral:tRNA from 1 species